UCGAGAAUUUUUCACAAUGGGGGAAACCCUGAUGGAGCGACGCCGCGUGGGGGAUGAAUGGCUUCGGCCCGUAAACCCCUGUCAUUUGCGAGCAAAGCGCAUUAUUUAAAAGAUGAUGUGUUGAUAGUAGCGGAAGAGGAAGGGACGGCUAACUCUGUGCCAGCAGCCGCGGUAAUACAGAGGUCCCGAGCGUUGUUCGGAUUCACUGGGCGUAAAGGGUGCGUAGGUGGUGAGGUGUGUCGGAUGUGAAAUCUCGGAGCUCAACUCCGAAACUGCAUUGGAAACUACCUUGCUGGAGGGUUGGAGGGGGGACUGGAAUACUUGGUGUAGCAGUGAAAUGCGUAGAUAUCAAGUGGAACACCAGUGGCGAAGGCGAGUCCCUGGACAACUCCUGACACUGAGGCACGAAAGCUAGGGGAGCAAACAGG
rnacentral:rRNA from 1 species